GGCCUGCCGGAGAUCAGAGGCCCAGAUUAUUGAAGGAGACGCCUAUGAGAUGCCCAAGCGGUUGCUGUGACAACUCUGCUGGAGGGCGGGAGGCGGCGAGGGCGGGCAGCUGACUGUUGGCUGUGGACAGGCUCCAGGCGUGCCAGGCCAGAGUGGGGAUAAUUCCACCCCAGGUUGCUUAGCUGAGGGUUCUCUGCGCAUUAAGCACCUUAACUCGCUGUCCUGCUGCACCCCAGCCACAGAGGCCUUGGUGAAGGUGAAAUCUUAGAGAAUAGCUGGGAAGCCAAAAGGCCAAGCAGUUUGAUGACUAUUUCCUUAAAGCUGAUGAAAAAGCAACGUGGAUAAUAUUUCCUAACAAUAAUGGCCAGCAGUUAGUGUUCACUGCCAGGCCCCUGCCCAGUACCAAGAGCUCAGGUUUUACAUCAGCAUGACGUGACCUAUGUGGAAUCCCUGGCUAGCUCUGUGACCUUGAGCAAAGUCACUCAACCUCUCUGAAUCUCAGGCACUAGUGUUGACCAUGGACACAAUAACACCUUCCACCUCGUAGGUUUGCUAUGCAGCCCUGGGGCACUCCUGUGCAAAGCCCCAUGCAGAGCUCAAGCAUGGGGUCUCUGGGACCACACUAUCAGGGUUCAAACUCCAGCUCUGUCACUCUCUGGCUAUAUGACCUUGGGCCAGUCACCUAAUCUCUUGAGCCUGGUUUUCUCAUCUGCAAAAUAGAGAUACCAGCACCUGAUACGAUUUGGCUCUGUGUCCCUACCCCAAUCUCAUGUGGAAUUGUAAUCCUCAAUGUUGGAGGAAGGGCCCGGUGGGAGGUGACUGAAUCAUAGGGGCAGACUUCCCCCUUGCUGUUCUUGUCAUAAUAAGUGAGUUCUCAUGAGAUCUGCCUGUUUAAGUGUGUAGCACUUCCCACUUUUCUCUCUCUCUCCUGCUCCACCAUGUGAAGAUGCACCUGUGUCCUCUUCACCUUCCAUCAUGAUUGUAAGUUUCCUGAGGCUUCCCCAGCCAUGCUUCCUGCACAGCAUGUAGAGUUGUGAGUCAAUUAAAC
rnacentral:lncRNA from 10 species